GCUGCCUUAUCUGCAAGUCGAGCGGAUCUUCUCCUUCUGGAGAAGUUAGCGGCGGACGGGUGAGUAACACGUAGGCAACCUGCCCACAAGACCGGGAUAACAUUCGGAAACGAAUGCUAAGACCGGAUACGCAAGCCUGAGGCAUCUCGGGCUUGGGAAACACGGCGUAAGCUGUGGCUUGCGGAUGGGCCUGCGGCGCAUUAGCUAGUUGGUGGGGUAACGGCUCACCAAGGCGACGAUGCGUAGCCGACCUGAGAGGGUGAACGGCCACACUGGGACUGAGACACGGCCCAGACUCCUACGGGAGGCAGCAGUAGGGAAUCUUCCACAAUGGGCGCAAGCCUGAUGGAGCAACGCCGCGUGAGUGAGGAAGGCCUUCGGGUCGUAAAGCUCUGUUGCCAGGGAAGAAUAAGGGCUAGUUAACUGCUAGUCCGAUGACGGUACCUGAGAAGAAAGCCCCGGCUAACUACGUGCCAGCAGCCGCGGUAAUACGUAGGGGGCAAGCGUUGUCCGGAAUUAUUGGGCGUAAAGCGCGCGCAGGCGGUCUUUUAAGUCUGGUGUUUAAGUGCGGGGCUCAACCCCGUGGCGCACUGGGAACUGGGAGACUUGAGUGCAGAAAAAGAAAGCGGAAUUCCCGUGUAGCGGUGAAAUGCGUAGAGAUGUGGAGGACCACCAGUGGCGAAAGCGGCUCUCUGGACUGUAACUGAACCCGAAGCCCGAAAGCGUGUGGGAGCAACCAGGAUUAGAUACCCCUGGUAAUCCCAGCCGUUAACCAAUGAAUGGCUAGGGUUGGGGGGAUCGCCUCCCUCGGGGCCGAAAGAUAACACAUUAAACCCUCCGCCCGGGGGAGUACGUCGCCAAAACUGGAACCCCAAGGGAUUGACGGGGAACCCCCCAAAGCAGGGAAAAUGGGGUUUAAUUCAAACCACCCCAAAAACCUUUCGGAGGCUGAA
rnacentral:rRNA from 1 species